GAUGAACGCUAGCGGCAGGCUUAAUACAUGCAAGUCGAGGGGUAGCAAGAUUGUAGCAAUACAAUCGUUGACGACCGGCAAACGGGUGCGGAACACGUACACAACCUUCCUACAAGUGGGGAAUAGCCAAGAGAAAUUUGGAUUAAUACCCCGUAACAUAGCGAUGUGGCAUCACAUUGCCAUUAUAGCUUCGGCGCUUGUUGAUGGGUGUGCGGCUGAUUAGAUAGUUGGCGGGGUAACGGCCCACCAAGUCUACGAUCAGUAGCUGAUGUGAGAGCAUGAUCAGCAAGCCGUGCACUGAGAACAGGGCCCGGCUCCUACGGGGGGAAGCAGUAAGGAAUAUUGGACAAUGGACGCAAGUCUGAUCCAGCCAUGCCGCGUGUGUGAAGAAGGCCUUUUGGUUGUAAAGCACUUUAAGCGAGGAGGAGGCUACCUGGAUUAAUACUCUAGGAUAGUGGACGUUACUCGCAGAAUAAGCACCGGCUAACUCUGUGCCAGCAGCCGCCGUAACAC
rnacentral:rRNA from 1 species